rnacentral:rRNA from 1 species
GAUGAACGCUGGCGGCGUGCCUAAUACAUGCAAGUCGAGCGAACAGACGAGGAGCUUGCUCCUCUGACGUUAGCGGCGGACGGGUGAGUAACACGUGGAUAACCUACCUAUAAGACUUGGAUAACUUCGUGAAACCGGAGCUAAUACCGGAUAAUAUAUUGAACCGCAUGGUUCAAUAGUGAAAGACGGUUUUGCUGUCACUUAUAGAUGGAUCCGCGCCGCAUUAGCUAGUUGGUAAGGUAACGGCUUACCAAGGCAACGAUGCGUAGCCGACCUGAGAGGGGGACAGGCCAACGGGGAAAGGGGAACCGGGCCAGAACCCAACGGGGGGAAGAAUGAGGGAAAUUUCAGGAAUGGGGGAAAGCUUGACGGAGCAAAGCGGGGGGGGGGAUGAAGGUCUUCGGAUCGUAAAACUCUGUUAUGAGGGAAGAACAAAUGUGUAAGUAACUAUGCACGUCUGGACGGUACCUAAUCAGAAAGCCACGGAUAACUACGU